rnacentral:rRNA from 1 species
GUGANGAUUUUGCGCAUGGGGGAACCCUGNCGCAGCGACGCCGCGUGGACGAUGAAGGCCCUUGGGUUGUAAAGUCCUGUCAGUAGGGAAGAAAUGUGUAUGUGCUAAUACCAUGUACAUUUGACGGUACCUACAAAGGAAGCACCGGCUAACUCCGUGCCAGCAGCCGCGGUAAUACGGAGGGUGCAAGCGUUGUUCGGAAUUACUGGGCGUAAAGGGCGCGUAGGCGGCCUGACAAGUCAGAUGUGAAAGCCCACGGCUCAACCGUGGAAGGGCAUCUGAAACUGUCAGGCUUGAGUAUGGGAGAGGAAAGUGGAAUUCCCGGUGUAGAGGUGAAAUUCGUAGAUAUCGGGAGGAACACCAGUGGCGAAGGCGACUUUCUGGACCAAUACUGACGCUGAGGCGCGAAAGCGUGGGUAGCAAACAGGAUUAGAUACCCUGGUAGUCCACAGCUGUAAACGAUGUCAACUAGGUGUUGGGGGUGNNGACCCCUNCANNNN